UAAGCUAUAUGAUGUGUGUUACUGAGUUGGGUCACACACAGUUAGAGAGACAAUGGUCGUUCUGAAUUAUCAAUAGAUGUAUUCAUUUUAAGUGAGCUGACACCGAGGUUAGAGGGAGUUCAGAGAAGGCCUCAGGUUAUAAAAAAAGUUAACCUUUGUUAGUCAACUAAUCCUAAGGAUGUCAUGAGAUGAUGACGUUUAAACAUAUACAAGUAUAGCUUUCAGAGAGAAAAACACGUGACAUUUGUGUGGUAGGCUGCAUGAUAAAAUGUGUGUGCAUUAAACAUGCUUAGGGAAAAUGUGUGUGUGUUCAUUACAGUGGCUAUAUAUGCUGUAUGAUUACUGCUACUGUUGGGGGGCAUUUCCACGAUUGGCUGCUGUGGCAGUAGGUAAAGGAGCCAUGGCAGAGGUAUCCACUAUUGUCAGUGUUGUUAAACAAUAUCUUCCGAUACCAGAUGAGUCAUCUCAGAAAACAUCCACGUAACAUCUUAUUGUAAAAUGAGGGUUGCACUAUACAAGACAAAUAUCAAAUAAUCCUGUUGGCUUGUCUUGAACACAGACAUGAUAAACUGCUUUCAUCUAUUUGACCUCUUCUAGUUGGGAAUGUGUGGUUUUGUACUUACCUUCACUGACCACUACCUGAGUUUUGUUGCAUGGCAGGAACAUGUAAAUGUUCUUAAACCCCUUAACACACAAACACUUAAACACAUAUAAGUACAACUAUUUGUUAUUAUCUUCCAUUACUCAGCAAGUGCAACCUUUGCAGCAUGAUGAGCCAGAGUAGCAAGAAAGACUUGUGUGGGAGUGUGAUUUUACCAAUGGCUAUUAAAACGAUUUAUUGCAGUUUGUUUUUA